AGUCAUAACACAUGAAUACAUCAAUAAGUUUUGAUAGUUUUGAUACAUCUCAACACCGGAGAAAAAGUCAAGCCAAACCAAAAACAACUAAAACAAUUGAACACUCUAGCCAAGCAAAAAAAAAACUAAAACAAUUGGACUCCUUCAUCAACUGAAGCCAAUGUUUUAAAACUAGGACCAGUGAGCGACCCCGAUUGAGUUAUCGGUUCUGAUUUUUUCCAGUUCAACUGAUUUAACUGGCCGGGUCAACGGUUCAAUAUUUUUAUAUUUAUUUUUUAAAAUUACAAAUUCUAAGAAAUAAUUUCAAUCACCAUCAAUGACCCCAUCUGCAGUAGUAAUACAAUCUAUGGUGACAAGUGUAUAACAUCAACAUCCCAUAUUUAUCCUCAUGAUUUACAAAGAAAAAUCACAUUAAACAAUUUUGUAGAAAUCAGCCAUUAAUUGUCCUCUUCACCAAAACCAAAAAAAAAAAAAGAAUUUAAGUACAUAGAAAUAAAUUUCAAAUUUUUUGACGAGAGGUUUCAAACUCCCCAAAACACAAACGAAGAAAUAAGAAAAGAGCGAAAAAAAACCAACAUCUAAUUGAGAAUGGCCUUUGAUCGAAGUUGGAUGUGCAUCUCCACCGCCACCACAUUGAACACCACCAGAUCUGGUGAGAUUGGUCUUGGAACGCAACAGUGAUUGACAAAACACUUUGAUCCUUGAUACCUAAGCAUAUAGUGUAGAUCUUCUUUUAGGUAUCUUUUGCUGCUAAUGAUGAUGUAGCUAAUUUUCUUCUUGGUCUUGUUCGAGAAGAUAGAGAAAAAUUUUGACGUUGGAUUCUAUGGUCUUCGCCUUGAAUGACGUGAAUGAAACCAAGAUGAGAGAUUGAGGUUUAAAAGAUGAAGAUAUAAUUGUUGGACUUAUCCUAGAUGCUUUAGACUUCAAUAAGAUA
rnacentral:lncRNA from 1 species